CCUACGGGAGGCAGCAGUGGGGAAUAUUGGGCAAUGGACGCAAGUCUGACCCAGCAACGCCGCGUGAAGGAAGAAGGCUUUCGGGUUUGAAACUUCUUUUAAGGUGGAAGUGGAGAAGACUGUAUCUCUUGAAUAAGCCAUGGCUAACUACGUGCCAGCAGCCGCGGUAAUACGUAGGUCGCAAGCGUUGUCCGGAUUUACUGGGUGUAAAGGGAGUGUAGGCGGGUCGACAAGUCAGUUGUGAAAGUCAGGGGCUUAACCGGAGAACUGCAGUUGAAACUAGAGUUCUUGAGUACAGGAGAGGUAGUCGGAAUUCGUGGUGUAGCGGUGAAAUGCUUAGAUAUAAGGAAGAACACCGAUGGCGAAGGUAGACUGCUGGACUGUAACUGACGGUGAGGCGCGAAAGCGUGGGGAGCAAACAGGAUUAGAUACCCUGGUAGUC
rnacentral:rRNA from 1 species